rnacentral:rRNA from 1 species
CCUACGGGAGGCAGCAGUAGGGAAUUUUCCGCAAUGGGCGAAAGCCUGACGGAGCAAUACCGCGUGAGGGAUGACGGCCUGUGGGUUGUAAACCUCUUUUCUCAAGGAAGAAGUUCUGACGGUACUUGAGGAAUAAGCAUCGGCUAACUCUGUGCCAGCAGCCGCGGUAAUACAGAGGAUGCAAGCGUUAUCCGGAAUCACUGGGCAUAAAGCGUCUGUAGGUUGUUUAGUAAGUCUGCUGUUAAAGACUGGGGCUUAACCCCAGAAAAGCAGUGGAAACUGCUAGACUCGAGUGUGGUAGAGGUAGAGGGAAUUCCUAGUGUAACGGUGAAAUGCGUAGAUAUUAGGAAGAACACCAACGGCGAAGGCACUCUACUGGGCCAUAACUGACACUGAGAGACGACAGCGUAGGGGAGACGAAACGGGUAUUAGACUACCCCGGUAGUCCUAGACCGUAAACGAUGGAUACUAGAUGUUGCACGUAUUAACCCGUGCAGUAUCGUAGCUAAGGCGUUAAGUAUCCCGCCUGGGAAGUACGCUCGCAAGAGUGAAACUCGAAAGGAAUUGGACGGNGUUGAGAGUUGCGACGACGACGACGAGGGAGGAGG